AGGAGGAACAAUCGCAGUGGCAGCGGCCAGCCCUGGAGCCCUGGAGUCAGCUCCCGCAGUAACUACAGAGCUCUCCGUCUGCAGGGCCUGGAGGCUAUGGGGCGGG
rnacentral:pre_miRNA from 1 species